AGUCGAGGGGCAGCACGGGUAGCAAUACUUGGUGGCGACCGGCGCAAGGGUGCGUAACGCGUGAGCAACAUGCCCGUAUCAGGGGGAUAAUCCAUGGAAACGUGGUCUAAUACCCCAUAGUAAGUUUUUGGGGCAUCUCAAAGAUUUUAAAGCUUUGGUGGAUACGGAUUGGCUCGCGUGACAUUAGCUAGAUGGUAAGGUAACGGCUUACCAUGGCUACGAUGUCUAGGGGUUCUGAGAGGAAGGUCCCCCACACUGGAACUGAGACACGGUCCAGACUCCUACGGGAGGCAGCAGUGAGGAAUAUUGGACAAUGGAUGGAAAUCUGAUCCAGCCAUGCCGCGUGCAGGAAGACGGCCCUAUGGGUUGUAAACUGCUUUUGUAUGGGAGCAAUAAGAUCUACGUGUAGAUUGAUGAGAGUACCAUACGAAUAAGCACCGGCUAACUCCGUGCCAGCAGCCGCGGUAAUACGGAGGGUGCAAGCGUUAUCCGGAUUUAUUGGGUUUAAAGGGUGCGUAGGCGGUUUGAUAAGUCAGCGGUGAAAUAUUUCAGCUUAACUGGAAGGGUGCCGUUGAUACUGUCGAGCUUGAAUUUAGUUGCUGUGGGUGGAAUGUGUGGUGUAGCGGUAAAAUGCAUAGAUAUCACACAGAAUAUCGAUUGCGAAGGCAGCUCACAAAGCCAUUAUUGACGCUGAUGCACGAAAGUGUGGGGAUCAAACAGGAUUAGAUACCCUGGUAGUCCACACUGUAAACGAAGAUAACUCGCUGUCGGCGAUACACAGUCGGUAGCCAAGCGAAAGCGAUAAGUUAUCCACCUGGGGAGUACGACCGCAAGGUUGAAACUCAAAGGAAUUGACGGGGGCCCGCACAAGCGGAGGAACAUGUGGUUUAAAUUCGAUGAUACCCGAGGAACCUUACCUGGGCUUAAAUGUGCUAUGACCGCUGUAGAAAUAUGGCUUUUCGCAAGAACAGAGUACAAGGUGCUGCAUGGUUGUCGUCAGCUCGUGCCGUGAGGUGUCGGGUUAAGUCCCAUAACGAGCGCAACCCUUAUUGUCAGUUGCUAACAGGUUAAGCUGAGGACUCUGGCGAGACUGCCACCGUAAGGUGUGAGGAAGGUGGGGAUGACGUCAGGUCCUCAUGGCCCUUAUGGGUAGGGCUACACACGUCAUACAAUGGCCGGUAUCAGAGGGCUGCCAACCCGCGAGGGGGAGCCAAUCCCAGAAAACCGGUACGUAGUCCGGAUCGUAGUCUGCAACUCGACUGCGUGAAGUCGG
rnacentral:rRNA from 1 species